CUCACACCAUGACGUUUAUCUUUAACAAUAAUGACUGAAAUGUAAUAAUUAAAAAAAUAAAUAAAAAAAAUUCUUUCAAAUAAAUCACAAAAUAAUCAAACCAUUAAGUUUACACAGAAGUCCGUGCAAAAAGUGAAAUUGUAAUUUGGAUCUUUUGGUAGGCUAGUGUUCAAGUGUGGUAGACCGGAGGUGGUGGGUUCGAUUCCCACGUGAGGUACUGGUUAAGGAGCCCACAACAGUCCCGAUAGAGGCCUAGCCGGAAGGUGAUAAGCUUAAAUCCAAGACCACAUUGAACUGUUAACUGAGUACUCUUCCAGAAUGGUACUCCAGGCCAAAUGGUAAUAAUCGUCAGCGAAAGAAGAGAAGGCAACUCGGGGAAGUUAAUGCAAAAUCAUUCGAGACAGUUUCAAUAAAUUUUCAGCAACUAAGUCCAGGAAACUCAAAUUCUGAACUUUUUGUAUCUGUUAAGCAACCUACUUUCAACUUAAUCUAACCUCAUAUAAAAGUUCAGAUAGUUUCUACGUUUCGCGAUGAAUCAACUGAUUCAUUUUUGCCACACGGAAACCUGUUUAAGUCGUUAGUUUAACCAUAUGAUUGCCGUUAAGUUUUUGUAUGAAAAACACGUAUCAGCUGAUCCAUCACGAAACGGAACGUAAAAACUAACUAAGCCUUAAAGCAGCUUUGUCAUAUUGGUUAACAAAGUAACAAUGACUUUUUGUCAAAUUUUAGUUAAAUAAAAUGUA